GACGAACGCUGGCGGCGUGCCUAAUACAUGCAAGUUGAGCGAUGAAGAUUGGUGCUUGCACCAAUUUGAAGAGCAGCGAACGGGUGAGUAACGCGUGGGGAAUCUGCCUUUGAGCGGGGGACAACAUUUGGAAACGAAUGCUAAUACCGCAUAACAACUUUAAACAUAAGUUUUAAGUUUGAAAGAUGCAAUUGCAUCACUCAAAGAUGAUCCCGCGUUGUAUUAGCUAGUUGGUGAGGUAAAGGCUCACCAAGGCGAUGAUACAUAACCGACCUGAGAGGGUGAUCGGCCACAUUGGGACUGAGACACGGCCCAAACUCCUACGGGAGGCAGCAGUAGGGAAUCUUCGGCCAUGGACGAAAGUCUGACCGAGCAACGCCGCGUGAGUGAAGAAGGUUUUCGGAUCGUAAAACUCUGUUGGUAGAGAAGAACGUUGGUGAGAGUGGAAAGCUCAUCAAGUGACGGUAACUACCCAGAAAGGGACGGCUAACUACGUG
rnacentral:rRNA from 1 species